CUCAUCUUCACUUGGGUUUUUACUCGGUGCUGUUUCUCAGCGUAGCAGAUGAAUGUAACGUUUUCCUUCGCGAGAUCUCAAACUUCUGCUGGCUUAAGGCCUUGCCCUUCUGCAAGUGUCACUAACUGAGUACCUUGGUUUGGGAGUAUCUGCUUUGGGACCCCUGCAAUCUGAUUUCCUGAGAUGCCAUGAGCCCAUUGCUGCUUCCAGUGGGAGCUGAGGUUUCCCAGCCCUGCUGAAAAUCAGGUCCUAGGCUCCUUCAGGCCAGCACCAAGGAGUCUCAGGUUUUCAAAGUUAACAGUUGCCUCUAAAUAUAAAACAACAGCAAAGCUAUAAUGGAAGUGGGAAAAAAAUCCAUACCUUUUGCCUUCCUAAUAUGUUAUACCUGAUGCUCACUGCAGAAGGGUUAGAGAUCUGACCCUUUGGACAUGGUUAGUUAGGGAGAGGUCCACUGGUCCCAGUGAUUUCUGGUUAUUUAGGAAAAAGGGAAAUUAAUGUGAGUUUUCCUUCAGCCUAUUAAUUCUGCACCCCCAUCACAGACAUUAAUUCAAACAUAAAACCUGAGCCUGAGUUUGAGCCUCCCCUGUGCUCAAAGCAGUCCGUGCCCAGGGUUCUUGUUCAGGCCCAUUUGUUACCUGCGUGACAUUCAUCCAUCAUCCUGAUUGUAAUGGUGAGAGGGGGAAAAUGUCCUCCUGGCUACUGAGAAGAAAAAGGACCUUACAUAGAAUUUAUAAUCUCCCUCAUCUGAGCUAAUUAUUCAGGAAAGGGUAUUUUUCACUGCAAGAAGCCCAGGCAAGCAGAUUCCAUUCAUAACUCAAAUACCAAACAGCUUGAACACCUUUGGGUUUAGUGGCUGAUUUUAUAAAUAUUAAGGGGGGGGGGGGGGGGUAGGUUUGUUAUUUUAUGGUGUUUUGUCAGUGCUCUUUCCCUUCGGGCAGAAAGCUGCUCCCUCUUCGUCACAGCCUCGAUAAUGAAUUGCAGUGUACAAAGCCGGUCAUACAAUACGCAGCGGCGGCAGCGCGGAGCGAGAAUCUUUGGGAAGAGUUUCCAUAGAAACAUUGACGUCCUCCUGGCGAACAGGACACCGAGUUCCUUCAAUGGGAGAUGAAGACACUGGCCUCAAGGAUUGUCCACCCUUCCUUGGGCUGUGGUUCCUCCAUGCUGCAUUGGUCUAUGGCCCCAUGUUCUCACUAAGCUCAGCAGCAAGGCUCUUCUCACUCUGCAGAAAGGCUGCUCGUACUCACGAUCCGGAGCACGUGGCUAUGCAACCACCAAAACCCCAGGGAAAACCAUUUCUAGGAGGGCCUGAGCUAAAUACAGCCUCUCUUAGACUGCAGACUCACUGGUGGCCGGCAGAGUCCCCCAGAGGAGACAACAGAGCUGGUUUGAGCCUUGGCACCUGUGAAGCUGGCUGGCUUGGGGCAUGAGUGGAGGAACACAGAGGAACUCGCUGCUUCUACAGCACUCCUGUGCAACUCAGCAGCACAAAUUAGGUUUGUGAAGCUCCUCACGAAAUCUCACCUGGAAACAUUCAUCUACGGUGUUAUGCAGCUUUCCCCACUUCAAAGGGAAACGUGGUGCUGCUGCUACCCCAGUUAGAGCAGCACCGAGCACUGGGACAUGUUGAACUGUGUUCACUGACACAGCCGAUGUUAUCUGUCAGCCUGCUCAGUGUUCCUUGUACCAGGGAGAUUUCUAAGUUCUAAUUUAAAUAAACAUCCCCCUCUGUAUUUGUCUUUUCACUUUAUCUGCUUUGGGAGUUAUUUCCCAUUGUCUCUUAACUGUUGUGGUAAAACUAAUGACAACUCAUUCAAAACAAGGAUUCCGAGCCUCUCAUUUGGAUUGCCGGCUGUGCUCCAGCAAUUCCCAGUAGCCUCCCAGUUGCCAAUGCUUGUAAUUUAUAAUCUCCGCGUUUUAUUCUCCAUUUGGGACACACAGUGAUGACAGACGACACAACUUCCACUGAAGGCCUGUGCAACCCCUUAUGGUUAAAAACGACUGCAAAGCAGGGGGGAAAUCGUAACUAUUUUGCUUCUAGAUUCAGAUUUUCACGUUGUUUGCAAUACUGCAAUCCUGAGAGCACCAACAUUGAUACAGCUGAAUAAAACCUUUGUGGUUUACAAUGAAUUAGGCCUUCUAGCAGGAUUUUUCAGCUGUGGAAAAUCCCCACUGCUAUCUUCCUCUGUUUAGCAUUCCGGUUUUCAGGCUACUGCCUUCCAGUCUGGUAUAUACUCUAAGCUCCAAAGGGUUACAGUGCUGGCAUUUCUUCCGACUGGCAUUUCCAAAUCUCUCCUGAGGCCCAUGCAGCAUUUAUGCCAAAAUGCUUUAUUAUUGUACAAACACAGAGCAGGAGGAGGAGGAGAAGAAAGACCAAAACCCUCCCCAGUUUGUGCUCCCAAACCAGGUCCUGCUCGCUGGUUUGCAGCCAACCAUACCCACCCCGGCGCUGCGAACACCCGCAGGUGGAUUUAAAGAGCAAAACCGGUGCUGUUUUAAUGAGCAGAGGAGCCUGGCUCUCCCGCCACCGCGCCUGAGUUCUUAGCCCACAAGCCUCUCGGUGCGGGAGGAGGCGGCGGCGCGCUGCCUGGCCUG